rnacentral:rRNA from 1 species
ACUUUUGUUAGGGAAGAAAAGGGAAGUGCUAAUACCACUUUUUGCUGACGGUACCUAAAGAAUAAGCACCGGCUAACUACGUGCCAGCAGCCGUCAUAAUACGUAGGGUGCGAGCGUUAAUCGGAAUUACUGGCCGUCGUUUUAAAGCAGACGGUUACUUAAGCAGGAUGUGAAAUCCCCGGGCUCAACCUGGGAACUGCGUUCUGAACUGGGUAGCUAGAGUAUGUCAGAGGGGGGUAGAAUUCCACGUGUAGCAGUGAAAUGCGUAGAGAUGUGGAGGAAUACCGAUGGCGAAGGCAGCCCCCUGGGAUAAUACUGACGUUCAUGCUCGAAAGCGUGGGUAGCAAACAGGAUUAGAUACCCUGGUAGUCCACGCCCUAAACGAUGUCGAUUAGCUGUUGGGCAACUUGAUUGCUUAGUAGCGUAGCUAACGCGUGAAAUCGACCGCCUGGGGAGUACGGUCGCAAGAUUA